rnacentral:rRNA from 1 species
GAUGAACGCUGGCGGCGUGCCUAAUACAUGCAAGUCGAGCGAACAGACGAGGAGCUUGCUCCUCUGACGUUAGCGGCGGACGGGUGAGUAACACGUGUAUAACCUACCUAUAAGACUGGGAUAACUUCGGGAAACCGGAGCUAAUACCGGAUAAUAUAUUGAACCGCAUGGUUCAAUAGUGAAAGACGGUUUUGCGGUCACUUAUCGAUGGAUCCGCGCCGCAUUAGCUAGUUGGUAAGGUAACGGCUUACCAAGGCGACGAUGCGUAGCCGACCGGAGAGGGUGAUCGGCCACACGGGAGCGGGGACACGGUCCAGGCUCCUACGGGAGGGCGCAGUAGGGAAUCUGCCGCAAUGGGCGAAAGCCUGACGGAGCGAGGCGGCGUGAGAGAUGACGGUGUUCGGAUCGUAAAAAUCUGUUAUUAGGGAAGAACAAAUGUGUAAGUAACUAUGCACGUCUUGACGGUACCUAGUCAGAAAGCCACGGCUAACUACGUG